rnacentral:rRNA from 1 species
UACGUAGGAUGCAAGCGUUGUCCGGAAUUAUUGGGCGUAAAGAGUACGUAGGCGGUUUGAUAAGUCUGCUAUUAAAGACUGGAGCUUAACUCCAGGACUGUAGUGGAAACUGUCAGACUAGAGGACAAUAGAGGAAGUCGGAAUUCUCAGUGUAGCGGUGAAAUGCUUAGAUAUUGGGAAGAACACCAGUGGCGAAAGCGGACUUCUGGGUUGUUACUGACGCUGAGGUACGAAAGCGUGGGGAGCAAACGGG